GCGCCCAUAGCUCAGUGGCAGAGCGCUUUCUUGACAUGAAAGAGGCCUGAAGUUCAAUUCUUCAUGGGCGCA
rnacentral:tRNA from 1 species